GCCCUUGAGUUUGAUCCUGGCUCAGGAUGAACGUUGGCGGUGUGCCUAAUACAUGCAAGUCGAACGGAGUUAGUAGCAAUACUGGCUCAGUGGCGAACGGGUGAGUAACGCGUUGGUGAUCUGCCUUGAAGUGUGGAAUAACGUUUCGAAAGGAACGCUAAUACCGCAUGUGCUCUCGAUUUUCAGAAAGUUGAGAGUAAAGGAUUUAUUCGCUUCAAGAGGAGCCUGCGUCCCAUCAGCUGGUUGGUAGGGUAACGGCCUACCAAGGCUAUGACGGGUAGGGGACCUGAGAGGGUGGCCCCCCACAAUGGAACUGAAACACGGUCCAUACACCUACGGGUGGCAGCAGUAGGGAAUAUUAGAAAUGGACGAAAGUCUGAUCUAGCAACACCGCGUGUGCGAUGAAGGCCUUCGGGUCGUAAAGCACUUUUUGGAAGGAAUAGGAAGGAAUGUACUUCCAGAAUAAGUCUCGGCUAACUACGUGCCAGCAGCCGCGGUAACACGUAGGAGGCAAACGUUAUCCGGAUUUACUGGGCGUAAAGCGCGUGUAGGUGGUACUGUAAGUAGGGCGUGAAAGCUCCUGGCUCAACUGGGAGAGGCCGUUCUAAACUACAGAACUAGAGGAUGGUAGAGGGAGGUGGAAUUCCAGGUGUAGCGGUGGAAUGCGCAGAUAUCUGGAGGAACACCGGUGGCGAAGGCGGCCUCCUGGACCAUUCCUGACACUCAGACGCGAAAGCUAGGGUAGCAAACGGGAUUAGAGACCCCGGUAGUCCUAGC
rnacentral:rRNA from 1 species